ACACCUCUGAACUCUUUCUGGAGAAAGCCUAGGAGACACCUUGAGAAACCACUCCCCUCUUCUUCAUGGGCACACCUGGGUGAGCACAGGGAGCUGUAGAUGCCAACAGAGGGAAGUUUGGGUCUGAGUUUGAAUUGGAUGAUCAUGACACAAAAAGUGCAUCUCAGAUUCAUCUCCGUACUAGGCUCAAAUAUGAAGAAGGAGGAAGCCAAAAGCUGAACACAAGGUGACUCUGCUGAGCACAGGAGGAAUGGUGAGAGCACUGAGCUGUGGCACUGGUGAGGCAGCUGAGAGGUCACAGCAUGUCCUGGUCCUUCCUUCUCAUCUCUGUGACCUGGGAAAGGUCAGGAAUUUCUUGGCUUUCCAAGUGGUGCUGUCAGGGAGUGCUUGACACACAAACACACACACACACACCUUGAGGCUCAUCAGAUCCUCUGCAAAUCCACAUCCCCCAGGCACAGCCAGGCAGGUUCUGAGUUUCCAGGGGUAUCUGUGCUCAAGUGUUGUAACACCAGGGAGAGAAGGAGAAUGGCUGAUCAUGUUUCCUGUUGCCCAGGAGCAGGAGAGGACCCUGCUGUGCCAUAAUCAGGUGUAUUGUGGAGUUCUUUGUUCCAGCUUUUCACACAGAAGAAAUGCUGUUCUCUUUCCUCACCCAUCUCCAGUUCCUAAAAAGGAACAAAUUCAAUCUAUUCCAAGAAUAAAGGAAUCUUUUUUAGCAGUGGUCUUAAUGAAGUCUAGGCAGCAAUAAACCCUGGUAGAGAGAAAUGAUUUUCCCAGUGUCCCAGUGAGGGAAUUCCCUGGGUUCCAAGGAGCAGCCAGCACACAUGCAGAAAGAAAAGGGAGACUGGGGGAGAGGUCUUUAUCUCCAAGUUAGUGAAGAUCCACAGGUUAACUCAAAACAGAUGGAGAGUAUAAUGCAUAAGCCAUCCUCAGGACUGGGUAAAUAGAGUUAUGUGGCAAAGAGGAGGUGGCUAGAGUGAAUGGAGAGGAAUUUCCUUGUGGGCAGCUUUGAAUGUUGGGAUAU